GUUAAGGCCAGUGGGUUUGUGGAAAAAACCCGAGGCAAUUAGAUCUAUUUUUAGAUCUUCUAUUAACCAUGGAAUAAUCAUAUUGAGUAAUGUGCACACUCUCAUCAAACACAUCACUGUGGUUUUUAUAACCUUAUAAAUGUAAAAAAAACUCGAUUGUUUCGGAUACAUUAUUAAAAAGAAUUUCAAUAAGAAGAGGGUCCAUGCGUAUAAAAAUGCCGAAACCUGAGGCUAAAUUUGAGAGAUUCUUUUAAACUCGUCUUCCAUGGGAAUUGAAGACAAAUUAACAUUGAUUCAAGUAAGGACAUUAAAAGUGAUACGCUGUGAAAAUCCUUUUGUGUCUUCUAUUUAUUGACACUCGUUUAAAAGGACAGAAUAGUUUUAUAUAACGUCAAUAUAUUUGUUGACAAGCCCUGUCGUUUAAAAUGGCGGCAUUUGAUUCGCUAAGCUUCGCACUUUUAAUCCCAUUUACAAUAUGUUUCGUUCUCCUCUUCAUCGUGUGUUGCUUUGCCGAUGAGAUAAAAGAUAUUUGCCGACUACCUAGCCCGCUUCCAACUAGUUAUAUCGGCAUGGAUCGACCGCCGCGACGUCACUCAAGUAGGUCACGUGGUCGACAUGGUCGUCAUGGUAGCGCAAAUGUUAGUGAGUCACAAUCUACGUCACAUGGAGACGACGCGCGCAACCUUAUUCUGAAUGAGGAGGGGAGGAGUCGAAACGUGUCAGAGAGUUCUACGGAAUAUUCUGGGCGUCAAUUUGCGGUAUCAAAUUACGUCAUAGUUGACGUCAUCAACGAGCAGCCAUCAACUUCGACAGAAAGUGACGCCAUGCAGACGUCAGGUGAACAAUUAAAUUGUGACAAAACGAACAAAAUGUCGUGUAAUCCAACAUUUUCUGCAUCAAUGAGUGAUAACGCUAUAAGUAGUUCGAGUAAUUUUCAUAACAAUAUUACCAUGGUAAGCAGCUCGGCUUGCCAAGAUAAACGUAAUAAAGUGCCAUGUGAAAGGUGUUUCUCAAAACAGACAUGUGAUGAAUUAGCAUCACAAAAUUGUGCAAUUUCUAGUUCCAGUAGAAAUAUGUCUGUUCCUACGGAGCUUAAUUCAGUGUUAUCGGCCACAUUGCAACAUUCGUUAUCAAAUGAUGGCUUGUUAAACAUGCCUUCGUCAGAAAUAAGCAACAGACAAAAUAUCUCCGAAAGGGACAAAUGUUCAUAAUGUACGAGUAUAUACAUGUAUAUAUAUAUCAAUGGUGUUCAUCAUGCGCAUUUAUCAAAUUAGUUAUGAUAAGAAAUACGUCGAGUUAUUGAGGCCGGAUAGCAGCAGGAUUUAUCAUAAGGCUGUAGAUUUAUUUGUGUUUUAUCAUUAUAUAUAUAUCGUAUGCACUAAUUCACUUAUAACUUACACAUUGUGUGUAUUUCAGGUGAUAAAUUACGUCAUAAAUGCUAAUCACAGUCACUGUUAGGUCUAUAGAGACCCCCAAUGCAUGUCCUGUAUAUGAACACAUUUAUUUGUCCCAAGUUAUUUUUACAUGUAGUAAUUUUGAUAGAGGAAAAUCAUACCCUUACCAAAUACAUAUGAAUAUACAUUAUUAUCAUUGAGGGCCAAUGUACUUAUUCUAAAAAAUGUUCAGUGUAGAUAUAUACAUGUAUGUUUAUGUGUUCUUUUAUAGUUAUAAUACACACAUUUUGUCUUUAAAGCUGCACUCUCACAGAUUGACGGUUUUGUCUUUUCUUUUCGUCUCAGAAUCAGCAGAUUUUGUCAUCAAUGCCUUCUAUUUAUUCAUAUAAGAUCUUUCACAAUAAAACAGAUCUCAAGUAUUUGAUCGUAAGUAACACUUUUAGCCAUGAAACAUCAAUGUUUCAAACGUUAAUAUGAAAAAAUGUGAUCUGAUCUUUUGUCAGCAGUGUUAUAUCUCUGGUUUUCAAACAUUUACGCAAAAAUUUGGCUCAUUCCAAGUCAAAAAAAUAAAAAAAGUUAUCAAGUCAGUCAAUCUGUGAGAGUGCAGCUUUAACUUUCGGAUCUGAACAUGGUACUAUAAAUAUAUUUAUAUAUAAUGCACCAGUGAAUUGUUACCACGGCCCCCCGGGACAGAGGGUAUUCCGGGGAUAGCCGGGGAAAUGAGCUGUGUUUUUACCUUUCAGGUAGCCCCGCACUGCCGGGUGAAUGCGGUGGUUUUGUCUUCGCACCAAAAAUAGAGGGGAAUGGGCCUUACCUAGAGUCCCUGGGGUGCAGGGGCAUUUGGUCAGGACUUUACCAGCAUUUCUUACCCGUAGGGUGGGGAUUUUACCCGGGCUUGGCUAAACCGAAAGUGAAAGUCCCCACUAUUCCCUAGACCUGGGGGUGGGCGUGGUUACAAUUGACAGAUACAUAAAUGCACGUAGAAUCAAUGCAAUAAAGUGUGCUUAACUUUUUAAAAUUAUGUAUGUACUUACUUGCCUUGUGCAUUGUUGUCUUUUUUCAGUCACAGUGUGUGCUAUUUUUAUGUUUUGUUUUGUAUGGUAUGUGUCUUGACCUUGACCUUGUGCCUUUAAUCAAGGUCAUUGUUAAUUGGUUUUGCAACUGGGCUUGUCCCUGUAGUUUUCAUCGUUUAGUUAUGAUUACACUUAUCAUUUCGGUCCAGUUCCAAAGAUUUUUACGGGCUUUAUAUUAUGCUUAAAAAUCAUAAAUGCAGAGCCUUUAGAUGUAGUUGUUUGUGUUGCGCUCUGAAUAACUGAAUUCCAGCUGUUCAAAAUUGUAGAAGCUUGAGGAUUUAUUUAUACACAUUCAGAACAUUUUGAUAUUGUACUUAUAUAUUUUGCAUUAUGAACAAAGGAAUUUCAGUUGAACAAAAUUGCAGUAGAUUUAAGUAUUUAUACACAGAACAUUUUUAUAGUACUUUGUAUUGUGCUUUCAAGAAAUGAAUUCCAGUGGAACAAAAUUGCAGGAGAUUUAAGGAUUUAUACACCAAACAUUUUGACAAUUUUGUUUUGUGCUUUGAACAAAUGUUUUCAGCCGAACAAAAUUGUGGAAGCUUUAAGUAUUUAUACACAGAACAUUUUGAUUUUGUACUUAAUUUUAAGAAUGUUUUGCUCUCUCAAUAACUGAAUUCCAGCCAAACAAAAUUGCAAUAGCUUCAAGGAUUUACACAGAAUAUUUCAAUAUUAUACUUUGUGUUUUGAUUUCUUAACAAAUGAAUUCCAACUGAACGAAAUUGCAUUAGCUCUAUUUCAAAGUGUGAAAGUGAAAAGGUUCUAUCUUUUUCUUCAUUCAAUGUCUCUUACAACCUUUUCGCUUUCACAUCUCGAUUUAUAAUGUCUCUAAGUAUCAGUUACACUCGGUGAAUAUCUUUCAUUUUAUACUUGUAUUUACAUUCAUAAAUUAUGCUCAUAUACAUUCAACUGAAAUUAAUCUAACACCUUAAAGAUAUUUUAUGAGAUUAUUGCUCUUGUAAACUGACCUUUUUUCGAUCCAUCUUAGGCCUAAAAAAAAAAUUGUUUGGUUAGGGUUACAUCCUUAAAAAAAAUAGGUAGGGUAGGUAGGCUUUAUAUUUAUUUAUUUUAUUUUUUUUUAUUAGGUUUUAUAUAAGAAUAUAAUUUUCAUCAUUGGAGAAUGGUGUUAAAGCUAUCUUCUGUACAAGCAUUUAAGGUUUAAACUUAAUAUUAAAAAGCAAUUAAAAAAAAAACGAAUUUUUUUUUUUUUUUUUUUUUUUUUUUUUUUAGUUUUUCAUUUUUUUUUCAAACUGACUAUAAAAACGGUAGGGUCGGCGCCUAUUCCGUAGGUAGGGUCGGGUAACCCGAACCAAAUGUAUUUUUUUUAGGCCUUAUGUGUAUAAGCCAAACUGCUUAUAAAUGUGUACUUGAGAUUUUAUUUAAAGAAGGUGCUGAUAUAUUUACUUUGCAUUUAUUAUUUAUUUUAAAAGGACUUGUUUACAUCUUUUCGAGUGAUACAGACAACGAAAAAAUUGUUUGCGUGAAAUUUAAAGAUGAUGCUUCUUUCAAUGAUAAAACAGCUUGAAAAGUUCAAAUUAUUGUACCAUUGUUAUUAAUUAUUUAAAAAUUGAUAGAACAUGCUCUUUUUGAAUAAUUUUGCUCAACGGCAUUAGUUAUGCUAUUGAAAAUUGAAUCACUAUAGGCUUGGACUAACAAAAUUAUGUUUAAACUAUUAUUAGUGCCAUGCAGUUUGAGAUGCUGUUUGAUAUUCAUUUAUAUAAGUCAAUAAAAUAACUCAAUUUCAAAAAUGUUUAAAGAAUAUUGUUGCCAAUAUCAAUCUGUGAGCCAGCCCCUUUAAUGUUAGGUACACAUUGAUUGUUUUUAAUAAAUAGUACCCAUGUUCUUAUAUUUUAUACAUACAUGUAAGAUGAAGAAUUUGUAUGCAUUUAGGACAUGUCUUUUUUAUCUAAAACUAACUGUUCCUAUAUGUACAUGUAUAUGUAUACCAACAACAUAUUCUUGCAGUUACAAGAAAACAUCAUUUUAUAAUAACCUUUACAAAUUUUAAACAAUAUUUAUGUGAUAAUUAAUAAGAAAUGUUUGACAAUGCCUUAAAUGGCCCAUCCACGGUUAGUGAAUUUAAAGUGACACUCUUAUUCAAAAUCAAUACAUACACAUGUAAAACAAACAUCAAUUUUGACUGAUAAACCUUUAACUACUUACUUAAUAAUGCAUUUAUGGAAAGUAUUAAUUACUGAUAACUAGAUUGUAACCGUGAAUUCAAUACCAGAAUUAGGGCAAAAAUAUUAAACGAUUGGUGACUGCUAAAAGAUUUAUUGUGGUCUACUAUAGUCUCAUUACGUAGAAAUACUGUGUGUUAUGUUCAUUUCUUUAAAAUUAAACUCGGUAUCCUUCGUAAGAACCAUUGUUUUCGACAUUAAUUCAUCGUUUUUGAAAUAUUAAACAAUACUAUUAAUUGUGGUAAAUCUUACUUGGGAGUAAGAGUGCAUCUUUAAAAAUACACAAUAAAACUGAUUCAAUAAAAUUGACCAAUUUUCUUUUUCCACCAGCUGCACAAUCAAUUUACUAAAAAGUUUUAUCCAUUUUUACUUCAGCAGCCAUUCUCCAUCAGUUGGAUACUAAUAAUAUUGUAAAAAAAAAAUCGCUCUCUGAUUUGGUCAAUAGAUUGAAGUCUUUCAUAUUGCCAAGUUAAGUUCAAAAUAUUGGUCAAUUUAUUGAGCAUAGAUGGGCUCCUUAAGUCUCUUAAAUAAUAAUUAUGUAGUAUAUCUGUUUUCUGAAACAUCAAAUAGCAAAAAGAUGUUGAUAAGACGCUAUACUAUAAUACAUGUUCUAGGUACUAUUCAAUUCUUGUUUCUUUUAGUACACUGUAUUCUUGUGAUAAUAUUUGACCAAAGUUUGAUAUUUAAUAAAUACUGAAAUGUU